ACAAUGGGGGCAACCCUGAUCUAGCCAUGCCGCGUGAGUGAUGAAGGCCUUAGGGUCGUAAAGCUCUUUCGCCUGUGAUGAUAAUGACAGUAGCAGGUAAAGAAACCCCGGCUAACUCCGUGCCAGCAGCCGCGGUAAUACGGAGGGGGUUAGCGUUGUUUGGAAUUACUGGGCGUAAAGCGCGCGUAGGCGGAUUAGAAAGUUGGGGGUGAAAUCCCGGGGCUCAACCCCGGAACUGCCUCCAAAACUGCUAGUCUAGAGUUCGAGAGAGGUGAGUGGAAUUCCGAGUGUAGAGGUGAAAUUCGUAGAUAUUCGGAGGAACACCAGUGGCGAAGGCGGCUCACUGGCUCGAUACUGACGCUGAGGUGCGAAAGUGUGGGGAGCAAACAGGAUUAGAUACCCUGGUAGUCCACACCGUAAACGAUGAAUGCCAGUCGUCGGGUAGUAUACUAUUCGGUGACACACCUAACGGAUUAAGCAUCCGCAUGGAUUCCCCCCC
rnacentral:rRNA from 1 species